rnacentral:rRNA from 1 species
GACGAACGCUGGCGGCGUGCUUAACACAUGCAAGUCGAACGGAAAGGCCUCUUUCGGGGGGUACUCGAGUGGCGAACGGGUGAGUAACACGUGAGUAACCUGCCCUUGACUUUGGGAUAACUUCAGGAAACUGGGGCUAAUACCGGAUAGGAGCUCCUGCUGCAUGGUGGGGGUUGGAAAGUUUCGGCGGUUGGGGAUGGACUCGCGGCUUAUCAGCUUGUUGGUGGGGUAGUGGCUUACCAAGGCUUUGACGGGUAGCCGGCCUGAGAGGGUGACCGGCCACAUUGGGACUGAGAUACGGCCCAGACUCCUACGGGAGGCAGCAGUGGGGAAUAUUGCACAAUGGGCGGAAGCCUGAUGCAGCAACGCCGCGUGCGGGAUGAUGGCCUUCGGGUUGUAAACCGCUUUCGCCUGUGACGAAGCGUGAGUGACGGUAAUGGGUAAAGAAGCACCGGCUAACUACGUG